rnacentral:lncRNA from 1 species
UGUGUAGGGAUUGCAGGGGGGUGCAGCAUCCGGAGGUGCCACCAUGGUUUGGCUACUGAAACUGAGACCUCACAUAAGACAGACACACACACCAACAAACUCCACAAACUAGAGAAACGCCAGAAGCCCAGCCACCCUCCACAACAACCCAUGAAACAAACAGUACAUAACAUAUCAGACAGGAUCCUCACCUCAACUGAAACCAAAGUACUCUCCAAAGGUUUCAACUUUGCAGUCGCCCCGAGACGCAUCCCCACGGAAAACAUCAUAUGCGGAGUCGAAGCUAGCCUAACCAAAAUCAACCCAGAUGAAGCCAAUAAAAUCAGACUUGAAGUCACCAACAUCCUCUGCUCCAGCAAACCACCCAGAAGCAAUUUACACAAAGAAGAACAGAAAGCACUCACCAACCUGAGGAAAGACAACAACAUAAUCAUUCUCCCAGCAGACAAAGGUAAUGCCACUGUUGUGAUGAACACAUCGGACUACCAAGCAAAACUAUCAAAUCUACUCCAAGACCCUACCUACCAACCUAUAAAAACAGAUCCCACCACCUAUCUGGAAAAAACCACCAAAUCCAAAAUAAAAGCCUCUCCUAUCAGUGAAGAAAUCCAGCUAAGAAUCAUCCCCAGAGAAAAAUCAUCCAGAUGCCCCAAACUCUACGGCCUCCCCAAGAUACACAAAGAAGGAACACCACUCAGACCAAUAGUCAGCUCCAUAGGCUCACCUCUACAAAAUCUCGCUAAAUUUCUCGCUAAGCAACUUCAGCCCUAUGCAGAAUCCAUCUCUUCACACGUUACAAACUCCUUCCAGUUCAUAGAAACAAUAAAGAAGCAAAACCUACAUCCCGAUGACCUACUUGUGAGCUUCGAUGUUGUAUCUCUCUUCACACAAGUGCCCAUUAAUGAAGCCUUGACAGCCAUUCAAAACAAAUACAAUCCCCCCGAAUACAUCCUGGACCUGACCAACCACUGCCUAACCAACACGUACUUCAUCCACAAUGGACAAAGAUACAAACAGAUAGAAGGAGCACCUAUGGGAUCACCCCUCUCACCGGUCAUCGCAAAUCUGUACAUGGAACACUUUGAAACCAAUGCUUUAGACAAGUCAGAACACAAACCCAAACUUUGGCUCAGAUAUGUUGACGACACCUUUGUAAUUUGGCCACACGGGAAGGAAAAACUAGAUAGCUUCCUCACACAUCUCAACAGCCUACACCCCAAAAUACAAUUCACCAUGGAAAUAGAAGCCAACAACCAACUUCCCUUCCUUGACGUCCUAAUCUACAAAAAACCUGAUGGCUCCCUAGGACACACUAUCUACCGGAAAAAAACACACACCAACCGCUACUUACAUGCACAAUCACACCACCACCCUGCACAAAUAAACUCCGUAGCCAAGACUCUCAUCUCCAGAACCAAACGCCUGGCUGACAAAGACCACUUGACAACUGAGUUACAGAAUCUCUCAAAUGUGUUAAUCGCCAAUGGAUACCAGCAAAACAGGGUUACGAAGCUAAUCCAAAAAGAAACACCCCCCAAAAACCAAGACACAGAAGAAAACAAUGGCAUGGCCCUCCUUCCUUAUAUCAAGGGCACUACAGAUAAAAUUAGCAAAAUCCUCCAUAAACACAAUAUCAAAACAGCCUUUUGCACCAACCAAAAA